AACGAACGCUGGCGGCAGGCUUAACACAUGCAAGUCGAGCGCCCCGCAAGGGGAGCGGCAGACGGGUGAGUAACGCGUGGGAACGUACCUUUUGGUUCGGAACAACUCCGGGAAACUGGAGCUAAUACCGGAUAAGCCCUAACGUGGAAAGAUUUAUCGCCGAAAGAUCGGCCCGCGUCUGAUUAGCUAGUUGGUGAGGUAACGGCUCACCAAGGCGACGAUCAGUAGCUGGUCUGAGAGGAUGAUCAGCCACACUGGGACUGAGACACGGCCCAGACUCCUACGGGAGGCAGCAGUGGGGAAUAUUGGACAAUGGGCGCAAGCCUGAUCCAGCCAUGCCGCGUGAGUGAUGAAGGCCUUAGGGUUGUAAAGCUCUUUUGUCCGGGAAGAUAAUGACUGUACCGGAAGAAUAAGCCCCGGCUAACUUCGUG
rnacentral:rRNA from 1 species